rnacentral:lncRNA from 1 species
CGUUAAAUUUAAUCUACAUUAUUAAAAAAAAUUUAGAAUUAAAUUUUAUAAUUUUUUUGAUAUUAUUUGACUAGUAAUAGAAAAGUUUUAAAAUUGACAAUUUUAAUUAUCCAUGUAAUGUGAUUGUGAAUUUAACGAUGUAAAAUAAUUCAAAUUCAAUGAAAUUUUUAUAAUUUUUUUUUUCACUAUUUAGAAUAAAAUCAGUAGCUCUGAUCUUAAAUUCAAGUCUUUUAUCAUUAAUUUUUAUAAAAUUUUUAUUUUUAACCAUUCAUUUUAAGACUGCUCGUUUGAUAGGUAAUAAUGUCAAAAAAUUAUAAAAUUUAGUUUUCAACUAUUUUCAAUAGUGUAGAUCAAGUCUAAUGGAGACAAUUGUUGAUUGACAUUUUGCAACAGACACCAUAUAUAUAUAUAUAGAGAGAGAGAGAGAGAGAGAGAGUGUUUGGCUACUAUACUCUUAUGAGUACGAUGACCCUCGUACUCAUAAGUUGUUUUCGAUGAUAGAGCUUCCGAAUUGACGAUCCAUAUCGUUAAACAUUAUUUAGAGCAUUUAAAACGUCUAGAAAUCACAUUUUAUAAUUUUUCGACAUCAUUUACCUUACGAUCAAAAGAUCACAAAAUUGACAAUUUUUAACGAUCGGUACGAGAUAUUUGCUAGUUUAACAGUGUAAAAGAAUCGAAAUCGGUUGAAUUUUUGAUAGAAAAUUCUAUUCACUACAUAGAUAAAGAUCAAUAACUCCGAUCUUAAAUUGAAGGAUCCGAACAUCUAUUUUAAAGACGCCAUUCGAUUUUGACCGUUCAUUUUAUAUCCGCUUGAUUAGCUUUAUUAUGACUUCGAAAAAUUGCGUAUAUAGGCCGUGGCUACUGUACUAUUAUGAGUAUUGGAGUCCUCGUACUCAUAAGUUGUUUUCAAUUAUUGAGCUUCGGAAUCGAUGAUCCACUCCGUUAAAUAUGCCAUAUAUAUAUAUAUAUACAUAUACACACUAGUUGAAUGUACAUCCAAAUGCACAUAACAAUUAU